CCCUUUCCCCCGCCCUUCUGCAGCGCAAGAAUGCGAACAGGAGAAGGCUGCGUUCCUCAGCUCGCCCCUUUUUCCAAACUGUUUUUUGGAGGGCUGAACAGCCUUAUAUAAAUUUAAGAGUGCAACAGAUGUUUCUGCUGGCUCAUUUAGACUGCUUAUCCUCACAUUCCUCUCAGCUGAUGAGGUGCCCUUCUAUGUUACAAGGAAUUCCUUUUACAUCACAGUGGUAGAGCUGGUUAAAAACACCAUCUGCUCUCAUAAAUGCCUGGACUGUGUUUAGCCACACUAUUCAAAAACUUGAGAAUAGCUACUGAAAGCUGGAGAUGAACCCUUGAAGUACACUGGAUGACAUCCGAACACAUCCAACAGUUAAGUGAAGGACCAAGUACUAUAAAAAGUCAAGGCAGGAGCAACAUCACUCAAACACGCUUAUGAGGAAACAUCAUGACACCCUGUGACGCACUGCUGAACUUUUGGGGACUGGAGAGCAUGAAUCAGAAGCGCUACUGGUCCUUGAAAAAGAUACGCCUCGAGAAAGAACAUCAAGUACUGGCCCAACAGAACCGUGAAGGGGACUGCCACUGAUUGCCUUUAUUGUUUUGACAUCCCAUAUUGCGGCGGAUGUUGUGUAUGCGUCGCGAUGUGCAUUGUGUCUUGGGCCACCAGGUUGCAGGGGCUCACCCCCUACCUGCUCAGUCAUUGGUUCAUGCUGUGAAGGGGUGGAGUGUAGUGGAAUUCCAGGGUCACAGCCUGAACCAAUGGGUGGGCUCUGUGAGUGUGUGAGUGCGGCGGCGCGGCAGUACGAGCGGGGGAGGGACACAUUCCUCAGCUCGGCUCUGCCUGCGCGCUGCUACCGGGAGGGGUGAGUCGAUUCUUUUUGAUAUCUUUCCCUCGUGUGCCUAUUUCUUAAAUAAAGGCUUUGUCAUUACCUUCAUUUGCUCUACAGCUACAUAUUACCUACAAAAAAUAAUCCACAGAAAGGAGAUCAGUGACUCUUUCCCAUGGCCUGAGGAAGCUCUUGGAAUUAUAUGGACAGAAGUAGAAGAGAGUCACUUCCUUGGCCUGUCCUAUAGCCACAGAGACUCCUGUUGCAUUUUCCAAGCUGCAAACUAAGGACUAAGCAACCUCUGCCCUUCCUGCAGCCAGCACUCCCCUGAUGUAGUCCAGUGUGUGUACAGGGAACCUUGGACAGCUCUUAGCUCUCUCACCCACUGCUCCUUUCUGUACUCAGCCCAAACACAGAAACCAGAUCACACAAGUUUUCAGACCACAGAUCACAUGUUCUAGCUCUUUUGUACAACACAUGUCCAGAGACAGUUUAAUAAUACUUUCAUCAGAGACUUACAGGCACUUACAUAAAUGGUUCAGCUUUCUCAGCUGUAGGCACCAUUUUUGACAGAACUCAUCUUAGUAUAUUCACAUGAAAUACAGAAAUGAGUUGAAGUAUUUGUGUCUUUAAAAUGAGGAGAAGAAAAAGCCAGUCUGAACUCAAAUACCUUGGCUUACCAAUAUCACAUUUUUUUUUUUAACUAUUUACAGACAUUUUAAAAACACUACUUACAUGCCCCAAAAUGAUGCUUUUAAACAUAAUUCCAACUACAGUUAGCUCAAAUUAUCUAAGCUUUUUUUUUCCCCCGAGUAUAGCAAAGUAAUGCCUCUCAAAUUUAAUUUACAUAAUAAUUAAGCUAGAUUUCUCUGAAGACUCAUACAAUAUAAUCCCUAUUUUAUCAAUAAAUAGAUGGUUGUUGCAUAUUUUACAAUUUAUACAGAAUUGUAUGGAAUGUACUAAAGGAUAUUAACUAUGGCAUCACUUACUGACCACAUCAUACAAAUAUCACUUGUGGGUUAGAGCUCAUGAGAUUUUAAGGAGUUUUUAAAAACAUUUAUCAAUAAAUAAACAAAAUACUUUUUAUGGAGUCUGAAAAUUAAGAAAUUGAGAUUGAGGAUGUGGUGCAUCAGGAAUUAUGAUACAGGAUACAAAAUCAUUCUUCCAUUGAAUGCCACUGAUCUGACAGUUUUUUAUAAUGCAGAAAAUAGCUUUUGUACCUGAAACUUGUCAAUGCCAUCAACAGAGACAAGUGAGGCGUUAUCAGAUGGACAUAGCAUGGAAUGCCUUUUCUGUUUAAGGUCUAAGGAUACAGUUUGCACAUGGAAGCCUAUCAGUAAUUGUAGCUGUGGAACUAUUCAUUUCACAGGUUACAUUGGUACUGCUCAAAAUUAUCUCAUCCCAAUGUUUUCCUACAGUCAGUGAAAAUCAUAGCCUGAAACAAUUUAAACCUUUUGAGGGAAACAACAACAAAGUACAACAGAAGAACCCCCCUCUAACCUACCUCAACUCUUUCACCCAUAUGAAUGAGUAGAGUAUUUGCUAUGAGCAUAUUACAGUUCAAAGGAGUUUUUUUCUUCAGAAUUAUCCAUCAUCAACAUUUCACUAAUUUGCACAAUCAUCCUAACUCCAUAAGCAUACUCCUCCUGGUGCAGAGACAAAUUCAGACAAAGGAGAUCACCUUCAAAAACCAUUAAAAAGUUGGGGAGAUGAGUCAACAUUUGUAUAUUUUUGAUCUUUCUAUAAUUUUAGAUUAAAGAGGACUGUUUAUUUCCACACAAAAUUGAGAUCACUGGUCUGACUGGUUUCACAGAGCGUUUCAGAUAAACUACAUUUUCUUUACACUACAUGCUACAGCUUCCUUUGGUGGGGAGAAAAACAGAAUGACAGUAGUGAAGGGAACACAGCCCAUAUUCCAGUCUGAUACAUUACUAAGCCACACUUCCACUGUUUGCAAUAUUAUUAGAAGUGCUGUUUCGCACAGUCACUGGUGCCAGAGGACUCAAAAUCAAAUCUGAAGUCAUUAUAUAAAAAUGAUACUGCAGAACUCAAUUUUAACUUCAUUAAAGUAACAAAAUAGCUGACAAAUGGAGCCAUCCACUCUGAUGUGUCUCAGCUUCAAAUAACGCAUAAAACAAUUGGAAACUCAGCCUUAGGGCUGCUGCUGCUGCUUUAAAGUAGUCAGUAGUACUGACAGAGUUAAAAACACUGAAAUGUAACACUACAGAAUUAAAAAGUUAACAAUAAGUCAUGAACCUAACUAAAAUGCAGGUUGAAGUCAAAAGAACAUGAUUAAGACUACAUGGAACCUUGAGCAGUGUUUGAAAGGGAAAGAUGAAGUCUUUUGUUAGGACAGCACAAAUCAAGGACAGCACAGCGUCCCCAGAAUGAUUACACAGCCCUGAAUGAUUUCAGGAAGUUAUGAAAUAAUUUUAGCAAAGAACAACACACAGCACAUACAUUUAAUAAAUUUUCAUCAACUGGCAAACUAUAACAUUAUCAACCUGUUUUUUCUACCCAUUUAUAAAACUGAUCAAACCCACUUCAGAGCAUGUACAUCCUAAAAUCUGCUGUGGCAUAUAUCUUAUUUCUGCAUCCUGUAACUUUAAUUAUUUUAAACUUGCAUCUAAAUAGCUGAAGACAAAAGCUUCAGAACAUGACUUUCACAGUGUAAAACACUGCUGCUUAUUACAGAGUAAACCAAAUUCAGGUUGUAUUUUCCUCUUCAAUAUCUGAUCUUUUAAACUACUCACGUGC